rnacentral:misc_RNA from 1 species
UGACAAACGUCCAAUAUCUCGAGGUAUUGGUCCUUGUAGAUUGUUCACUGCAAGGGAAAGACCUCGAAGAGUCGAAAAAUUUCCUAUCCAAGAUGGGAUACCUCCUGUGAGAUUGUUGUUUCCAAGGCCUAAAUAAUUCAACUUAGUAAGUGAACUGAACUGAUCAGGUAAUACUUUACCAACCAGACUGUUAUAUUCUAGAGCAAGUGAUCUAAGUUCUUUACAGCUGCUAAGAUUAGCAGGAAUGGUUCCAGUA